CCUACGGGAGGCUGCAGUGAGGAAUAUUGGUCAAUGGGCGCAAGCCUGAACCAGCCAUCCCGCGUGAAGGAAGAAGGCCCUACGGGUUGUAAACUUCUUUUCUGUUUGAAGAAUAAGCUCGUCGAGACGAGUGAUGCCGGUAGGACAGGAAUAAGCAUCGGCUAACUCCGUGCCAGCAGCCGCGGUAAUACGGAGGAUGCAAGCGUUAUCCGGAUUUAUUGGGUUUAAAGGGUGCGCAGGUGGUUUAAUAAGUCAGUGGUGAAAGUCUGGCGCUUAACGUUAGGAUUGCCAUUGAUACUGUUAGACUUGAAUAUGGAUGAGGUAGGCGGAAUGUGUAGUGUAGCGGUGAAAUGCUUAGAUAUUACACAGAACACCGAUUGCGAAGGCAGCUUACUAAUCCAUCAUUGACGCUGAGGCACGAAAGCGUGGGGAUCAAACAGGAUUAGAUACCCCUGUAGUC
rnacentral:rRNA from 1 species